AUCGCUUCUCAACCUUUGGCUAUGAUCAAGUGUAAUAUCUGUUCUUAUUAGUUUAAUAUCUGAUACAUCCCCUAUUUGAAAGCUAUAUAUUAAGUGGAUUUGGGGGGGGGGAGCCCUGGAAACUCCUUAGAGCUUUCAAGGCAAGAGAUGUCUAGAAGUCAUUUGCCCUUGCAUGCCUCUUCAUCA